rnacentral:rRNA from 1 species
UACGGAGGGUGCGAGCGUUGUCCGGAAUCACUGGGCGUAAAGAGCUCGUAGGCGGUCUGUCACGUCGGCUGUGAAAUCCCGAGGCUCAACCUCGGGUCUGCAGUCGAUAACGGGCAAACUAGAGUAGUUGCAGGGGAGACUGGAAUUCCUGGUGUAGCGGUAGAAAUGCGCAGAUAUAGGAGGAACACCGGUGGCGAAGGCGGGUCUCUGGGCAAUAACUGACGCUGAGGAGCGGAAAGCGUGGGGGAGCGAAACAGG